GCAAACUUGGUCAUUUAGAGGAAGUAAAAGUCGUAACAAGGUCUCCGUAGGUGAACCUGCGGAGGGAUCAUUACCGAGUGAGGGCUCACCGCCCGACCUCCCACCCUAUGUGAUUAUACCGCGUUGCCUCGGGGGUUACCUCUCGCCCGCGCGGCGUCGGGGCCCCCGGCGGACCAAUUUACCAAACUCUGCGUCUUAUGCGUCAGUUUCAUUGAUAAAUUUAUUAAAACUUUCAACAACGGAUCUCUUGGUUCUGGCAUCGAUGAAGAACGCAGC
rnacentral:misc_RNA from 1 species